CAACAGGGAUUGCCCUAGUAACGGCGAGUGAAGCGGCAACAGCUCAAAUUUGAAAUCUGGCUCUUUUAGAGUCCGAGUUGUAAUUUGCAGAGGGCGCUUUGGCUUUGGCAGCGGUCCAAGUUCCUUGGAACAGGACGUCACAGAGGGUGAGAAUCCCGUACGUGGUCGCUAGCUAUUGCCGUGUAAAGCCCCUUCGACGAGUCGAGUUGUUUGGGAAUGCAGCUCUAAAUGGGAGGUAAAUUUCUUCUAAAGCUAAAUAUUGGCCAGAGACCGAUAGCGCACAAGUAGAGUGAUCGAAAGAUGAAAAGCACUUUGGAAAGAGAGUCAAACAGCACGUGAAAUUGUUGAAAGGGAAGCGCUUGCAGCCAGACUUGCUUGCAGUUGCUCAUCCGGGCUUUUGCCCGGUGCACUCUUCUGCAGGCAGGCCAGCAUCAGUUUGGGCGGUGGGAUAAAGGUCUCUGACACGUUCCUUCCUUCGGGUUGGCCAUAUAGGGGAGACGUCAUACCACCAGCCUGGACUGAGGUCCGCGCAUCUGCUAGGAUGCUGGCGUAAUGGCUGUAAGCGGCCCGUCUUGAAACACGGACCAAGGAGUCUAACAUCUAUGCGAGUGUUUGGGUGUCAAGCCCGAGCGCGUAAUGAAAGUGAACGGAGGUGGGAACCCGCAAGGGUGCACCAUCGACCGAUCCUGAAGUUUACGGAAGGAUUUGAGUAAGAGCAUGGCUGUUGGGACCCGAAAGAUGGUGAACUAUGCUUGAAUAGGGUGAAGCCAGAGGAAACUCUGGUGGAGGCUCGCAGCGGUUCUGACGUGCAAAUCGAUCGUCAAAUUUGGGCAUAGGGCGAAAGACUAAUCGAACUAUCU
rnacentral:rRNA from 1 species